rnacentral:RNase_P_RNA from 1 species
GCCGCAGACCGCCUUAUCGUCGUCUUGUCUUUCGGGACGAGAGGGAGGAAAGUCCGGACACCACAGAGUAGCAUAGCGGGUAACACCCGUCAGUUCCGAUUUAUCGGGAUUAGGACAAGUGCAACAGAAAGUAUGUACAGGUAAUGCUGUAGUGAAACCAGGUAAACUCUAUGCGGUGAAAUGCCAUGUAUAUCAACAUUCAAGGGCUGCUCGUUCGUUGUUGAGGGGUAGGCAGAUGGAUCCCGUCAGUAAUGUCGGGGCUAGAUAAAUGAUAAGGGUUCCGAUUUAUCGGAAUACAGAAUCCGGCUUACAGGUCUGCUUUUUUA